CUGGUUGAAAUCAGCCCCGCACUGAGGGCCGUACAGUGGGCCGCACUAAGGUGUACGAACAACAGCAGUAGCAGCGGUGGCAGUGACAGCAGUGGCCGAGGCAGUAGCAACAGCAAUUCGCAGUACGGAGAUCUACAAAGGACCAGCAUGACGCCGUACCUCCGAGAGGAAACCGCCACCGCCGCCGUGGAAGGUCCUGCAGGCGCACCAGGGCCGCCGCCGCCGCCGUCGCCGCCUUCCCUUUUAGCUGUCGACGUGGCUGCUACUGCCGACGGCGUGUAUACGACACCAGAUCGGGGGAUAUCGGGCUUUAGCCGCUGCCAGGUGGGGGUCUGUGGGGGUGCAGGGGUGUGCGUGCGGGGAGGGCGUGUGAAAGGUACAUUAGGGUUUUAGGGUUUUACUGUGCAGCAGGUUUUAGGGUUUUAGCAUCCCAAGGUCUAAAACCCUAAGCACUUCUCCGGAAGCGGGGAGCUCGGCGAAAGCUCAAGGGGGCCUGUUGCGGGAUUCGCAGCCCGCGGGUGGAUGUGAGCGGACCCCUCAUCCCUUAGGUGCGGCAGGACGCGGGAGGAGGGAGGAGGAGGAGGAGCACAGGAGGACGAGGAGGAGAAAUAUGGUGGGGGAGGGACGAUUGGAGGGUUCCCGCUUUUUUUGAAUUUUAAGGCUUUUUUUGAGGGUUUUAUUUGGUUGCUCGUACGUGUUUUUUCGUCAUCCCUACCACGCACGGGGUUUCCACACCGUGUGUGUGUUUUGUUGUCCUCCGGGACUCGCGUCGGCAUCGUGUGUUACUACACACAUACACACAUGCGCACAUACAUACAGAGUACACACAUUCGACCGGACGCAGGUCUCCUGGCACACCUCGCUAGAUGCCGUACCCGACGGCCCCGCGCCAGCGCUGUACAUCGCGCAUGAGUUCUUCGACGCGUUGCCCGUACAUCAGUUCGUACGAGACCCCAAGCGGGGCUGGCUGGAGAAGAUGGUAGACGUACGGACGUACGACGAAAACGACAUGAACACCGACGGAAAUGACAAUGGCAGCGGCAGCACCGCCGGGCACGUGAAUCCGGAUCCGGAUUCUAAUUCGCAACCGUCAUCUGGAUCUGGGCACCUGAGGCCAACCACCUCAACCACCACUACCACCUCCAUCACCUCCACAAUAUUGUCAACCUCGACUUCAUCCGCAAGUCCUUCACUCUCCUCGUCCUCCACCUCCUCCACCUCAACAUCACCACCAUCACCCCCAUCACCAUCGGAAGGGCAACCCGGAGAUUACCCGGGCGACGCUGGGGGGAGCAGCGGCGGUGGCGGCGGACGCGGCGGCGAUGCGUACGGCAGUGGUUUGCGGAUGGUUUUGUCCAUGCGUGACGUGUCCAUGCACGCAAAGCGCGGACCGGCCCAUUGAGUGUUACCUCGAUGGUUAUGAAGGUUUGGUUGAGGUGGAGGCGAUUUGAAUAGGGGUGGGAACUUACGCUUUUCGGUUUUACGCAUUACGCUUUUCCGUUACGGUAAUUACGGUAGGGCCCAAAAAUGACCGUAAGUUUUCGGUGUGAUGGCGUAACGUCAAUUACGGUGUCCAUUUUGCCUGUCCUCACCGGAAGUCAGAUGUCCACACGCCACCGCGCCUCCAAAGCAACAUAUAACAUCUAACAUCCAUUCUAGAGCAAUUAAUGGAAGACGAAAAUGUCCGAUUUUUCGAAAACGCACCUCAACAUAGCCACAACUAAGUAGAUCUAUACCAGCACCAAGGUAACUAUGUAAACAAUGAUAUGCUGUUUGGGUGUCUCAUCGGCCAUUGUUACACAUGAACCACGCGAACAGACGUAGCAGCUAAAAAAAAUGUUAUUUAAUGUUACUAUAAUUACUAAAAUGUUUUGGGUUCACGAAAAUGGCCACUGGUACGGGACUGUAAAGCAUUACGGUUGGUCUCACGACGCCCCAAACCGUAAUAUACGGUAUUUGACGCUUUGCGCUUUACGCUUUGCGUAACUUACGGUCCAAAAAGUCUAUUACGCUGUAAUUCUCCACCCCUAAUACACACGUAUACACACGCGUAUACACACGCGCAUACACACGCGCAUACACACGUCAUGCACGCCAACAAGCGCAUGACUCCCCGGCUACACGUUUCAAAGUCGGCGAUGCUUCCCUUCCCUUCCGCUCCCCUCCCCUUCCAACCUUCCAACCAAAACCCGCACGCUCCUACCCGGACNNNNNNNNNNNNNNNNNNNNNNNNNNNNNNNNNNNNNNNNNNNNNNNNNNNNNNNNNNNNNNNNNNNNGUGCGUUUGAAUGGUCCGUUUGUAUGUAUGUAUGUAAGCAUCUCCCCCUACAUCUCCCCCCCCAUCCCCCCGGCCCCCCGCACGCAAGCAGAUGGUUGGGGUGUGGUGCGUCCACACCUGGCUAUCGCUGGGCCGCCCUCCCAGGCUGCUGCUGGUGGAGCUCGGUCCGGGAAGGGGAACCCUCAUGGCGGAUUUGCUUAGGGGCACGGCGGGUAAGAGCGUGUGUGUAUGUGUGUGUAUGUGUGGUCUUGGUAAUGUCUCCCUCCGCCACCUUCAGCUGUAUCAUUAAAGACCUAAUACAUGCUCUAUCUCAAAAAGUUUAUUUAAAUUUUUGAGACAUAGGAUGUAUUAGGUUUCAUGCUCUCCUCUUUCCAAACCUGCCCCUCCUUAUCCCCCUUCCGUUCCCCUCUCUUUCCCUCGCCCUCUUCCCCCCUCCCCCCUUCCCCCAUCGGGCUGCGUGUUUCAGCCUUCCGGGAGUUCUCCGCAUCCCUGGAGCUUCAUCUGGUUGAAAUCAGCCCCGCACUGAGGGCCGUACAGUGGGCCGCACUAAGGUGUACGAACAACAGCAGUAGCAGCGGUGGCAGUGACAGCAGUGGCCGAGGCAGUAGCAACAGCAAUUCGCAGUACGGAGAUCUACAAAGGACCAGCAUGACGCCGUACCUCCGAGAGGAAACCGCCACCGCCGCCGUGGAAGGUCCUGCAGGCGCACCAGGGCCGCCGCCGCCGCCGUCGCCGCCUUCCCUUUUAGCUGUCGACGUGGCUGCUACUGCCGACGGCGUGUAUACGACACCAGAUCGGGGGAUAUCGGGCUUUAGCCGCUGCCAGGUGGGGGUCUGUGGGGGUGCAGGGGUGUGCGUGCGGGGAGGGCGUGUGAAAGGUACAUUAGGGUUUUAGGGUUUUACUGUGCAGCAGGUUUUAGGGUUUUUUAGCAUGCCAAGGUCUAAAACCCUAAGCACUUCUCCGGAAGCGGGGAGCUCGGCGAAAGCUCAAGGGGGCCUGUUGCGGGAUUCGCAGCCCGCGGGUGGAUGUGAGCGGACCCCUCAUCCCUUAGGUGCGGCAGGACGCGGGAGGAGGGAGGAGGAGGAGGAGCACAGGAGGACGAGGAGGAGAAAUAUGGUGGGGGAGGGACGAUUGGAGGGUUCCCGCUUUUUUUGAAUUUUAAGGCUUUUUUUGAGGGUUUUAUUUGGUUGCUCGUACGUGUUUUUUCGUCAUCCCUACCACGCACGGGGUUUCCACACCGUGUGUGUGUUUUGUUGUCCUCCGGGACUCGCGUCGGCAUCGUGUGUUACUACACACAUACACACAUGCGCACAUACAUACAGAGUACACACAUUCGACCGGACGCAGGUCUCCUGGCACACCUCGCUAGAUGCCGUACCCGACGGCCCCGCGCCAGCGCUGUACAUCGCGCAUGAGUUCUUCGACGCGUUGCCCGUACAUCAGUUCGUACGAGACCCCAAGCGGGGCUGGCUGGAGAAGAUGGUAGACGUACGGACGUACGACGAAAACGACAUGAACACCGACGGAAAUGACAAUGGCAGCGGCAGCACCGCCGGGCACGUGAAUCCGGAUCCGGAUUCUAAUUCGCAACCGUCAUCUGGAUCUGGGCACCUGAGGCCAACCACCUCAACCACCACUACCACCUCCAUCACCUCCACAAUAUUGUCAACCUCGACUUCAUCCGCAAGUCCUUCACUCUCCUCGUCCUCCACCUCCUCCACCUCAACAUCACCACCAUCACCCCCAUCACCAUCGGAAGGGCAACCCGGAGAUUACCCGGGCGACGCUGGGGGGAGCAGCGGCGGUGGCGGCGGACGCGGCGGCGAUGCGUACGGCAGUGGUUUGCGGAUGGUUUUGUCCAUGCGUGACGUGUCCAUGCACGCAAAGCGCGGACCGGCCCAUUGAGUGUUACCUCGAUGGUUAUGAAGGUUUGGUUGAGGUGGAGGCGAUUUGAAUAGGGGUGGGAACUUACGCUUUUCGGUUUUACGCAUUACGCUUUUCCGUUACGGUAAUUACGGUAGGGCCCAAAAAUGACCGUAAGUUUUCGGUGUGAUGGCGUAACGUCAAUUACGGUGUCCAUUUUGCCUGUCCUCACCGGAAGUCAGAUGUCCACACGCCACCGCGCCUCCAAAGCAACAUAUAACAUCUAACAUCCAUUCUAGAGCAAUUAAUGGAAGACGAAAAUGUCCGAUUUGCCGCGAAAACCUUGCUUCGAAGUUCGAAAACGCACCUCAACAUAGCCACAACUAAGUAGAUCUAUACCAGCACCAAGGUGACUAUGUAAACAAUGAUACUAGAAAUCAGCACUCUGCUCAUUCUGAAGUGGUCGUGCAUUUAUUUCCGUGCGAGCGCGCCAAUUGCGAUGUCGUCAUCGCUGUCCGUGUCCGGCGGUAUGCCGCUUGGGGUCCUCGCCACUCCAGCCAGCAAAGUUGUGCUACUUUUAAGAAUGUUGUUCAGCUUUUUCAUGACCACGGGCUGCUGUUUGGGUGUCUCAUCGGCCAUUGUUACACAUGAACCACGCGAACAGACGUAGCAGCUAAAAGAAAAUGUUAUUUAAUGUUACUAUAAUUACUAAAAUGUUUUGGGUUCACGAAAAUGGCCACUGGUACGGGAC
rnacentral:lncRNA from 1 species